CAGGAAUUAACAGCUCUAAUAUAUAUGCAUUAUUAGGGAAACAGGACUGUGGAGUAAAGGGGCAAACAGCUAUGCUAUGUUAUACAGAUCCAGGAUGAAUAAUGAAAGUACAAAAUUUACAUAAGCAAACAGAGGUCUGGGAGAAAAUAAACUGACACAGAGCAAAGCAAAAGAUUUGAGCACCUUUUAUGAUAGUGGGGCUUAUACGGCCCAAGUGAAUAGGAUUUGAGAUUGAAAUUUAUGGGAAGAUGCAAGGUCUAAAUUUUGGGGAUUUUUUGUUCAACUGUACUAUGUUCCUGUAUUUCUGCUUUCCAGGAAGAAGUCAUAGAGGUGUCUUUGAUACAACACCAGGCAUGAAGCUGCAUACUUACCAGAGCUAUUAUCUGGAUGCUUCAAAGGAGCAGAGCCCAAUGGAAAGAAGAUGGCAACAAACAUGAAAGGAUAAAGCACUUGACUGGGUCUAGAAAUAGAGUGGAUUUUUUUCUGCCUUUCACACAGGUUGAAGAGACACUAUGCCUUUUUGUUGUAAAAACCACUGAAAAACACCUGCUUUUAACUAUGUGACAUAACCCUGCUUUCCAAUAAAUGCUUUAUUUCCAGCAGCAGCAGAAAGAACAGAAUCUCCUUUACUAGCCUGUUAACUACAGAUCAGAAAAUGAGGCAGAAGACCACAUCCUAAUUCCUGACCGCCCACAGGUCAGCAACAGUGUGCCAGUGAACACACAGGUCAGUGCAUUUUGGCACAGCUGCACCCUAGUGUCAGUGGGCUGCUUCUUCCCUCCAUCCCCACCUUAUCACCUGAUUGCAGGAUAGACAGUAUAAAGCACCCCAUGGUUUUCCCUGUGGCUUGCAGGCAGUGCUGUGGGUUGGUCUGUGUGCUUGCAGGACACAGGAGCAGAUGGGAAGAUGCAACAGGAGCAGAUCCCCUUUGCCUAAAGGAUCAAAGGCAGGCUAAGCUCUAUGUCAUUUGGUCCUGCAGCCUCCUCCUUGUUGAAAGGCUGAAGCAGAAGUUGGCUACAGACUGCCUGAAUUCCAUCCCCAGGAUGAUAUUACCCUUCUUCUCCCAUGCUGAGAAUGAAGCAGGACCGGGAAUAUGAAGAACAGCCCUUUUCUAUCUGUGUAAAGGAAAUUUUUCUGCAUCUUUAGCAGGUAGCUGGGAUAGUUACAGGGUAAAAAUGACAAAUUACAAGCAUAGUACAGGGAGACUAGUCUUAACAAGAAAUUGCAGAGAUUACCUAUAAUUUUUACUGAGCAAAAGCCAUGCUAUUUUAUCACUUUCUGGUAAACUAGCUCGGUUUCUUUUGAGAAGAGGGAGAUUUAGAUGAAACGGUAUUUGGGUGGAGAUGCAUUUAAUAACAUUUUAUGGCAUACUAUUUUUUACAACAAGCAUAAGGCUUGUCAUUUUUACUUGUCUGCCAUAAGAAAAAUGACAGUCUGUUUGAACACUCUAAGACUAUAGUUAAGGCAAAGCAUUUUUACCUCUGUCUGAAUUUUCAAAGCAGGACUGAGGUGAGGGAAGCAGAUAACUAGAGGUGAGCUUACAAUGUACCUACCAUUUGAGCACUUGAAAAGUCAUGUCUGAAAUUAGAGUGUAAAAUCUCACCCAUUCCUUCAUCUAUUCCACUCUCACCUCACUUAGAGUGCUGUGUCCAGCUCGGGGGUUCCCAGCACAAGAAGGAUGUGGACAUGCUGGAGCAGGUCCACAGGAAGGCCACAAAGAUGAUCAGAGGGCUGGAGCACUUCUCUUAUAAAGACAGGCUGAGAGAGCUGGGGUUGCUUACCACGGAGAAUACUUGGGAUACCUUAGAGCAGCCUUCCAAUACCUAAAGGGCAGGGGGAGUGGGACUUUCACAAGUAGUGAUAGGACAAGGGGCAAUGUCUUCAAACCAAAAGAGGGCAGAUUUAGACAAGGUGUUAGGAAGAAAUGUGAAGGUAGUGAGGCAAUGCAACAGGUUGCCCAGAGAAAUCGUGGAUAGCCCAGCCUAGUUCAGAUUGGAUGGGGCUUUGAACAGCCUGGUCUGGUGGAAAAUGUCCUUACGAAUGGCAAGAUGUUUGGAACUAAACGAUUUUUAAGAUCUCUUCCAACCCAAACCAUUCCAGUCCUUGUGCUGACAGACUAAUUCCUUUGUUCCCUCAUGUAGAUCAUCUUCACCCUGCUGUACUCUGAGUCAGUCAGUCCAAUAAGAAGUGGUCCCAGUUCAGGGCUAUGAAUCCCUCUGAGAUGAGUGUCAAUACUUUCUGGACUGAAAAGUGGAUGGAGCACAUUUGCUCUCUCUUGGUGUCUGUACAUGCACUCCAGACCCUGCUGAUAAAUCUGUGUACAAGGGUGUCCUGAUUCUGGCUGGGACAGGGUUAAUUUUUGCAGUAGCCAGGAGGUGUCAUGGCUCAGACCCAGAGGAUAUUCUACAGCACCUCACAUCUCUCCUCUGGUCAGGGUGGCUGAGGAUGGGUGGUUUGGUCUUGGACUCCGUGGUGAGUAUUUUGCAUGUGAAUCAGUCUCUCUUUUGUACACUUUUGUUAUUAACACUGUUGCUGUUACA